rnacentral:lncRNA from 1 species
CAUAUAUACAUAAAAUCUGCUAAUGUGAAAAUAUAUAUUAUAUAUACAAAAUCUGACAAAGAUUCUCUCCUUGAUCAAACUCAAACCAGGCUCCUCUGAACUCUCUUCUCAACUAGGCACUGACUUUUGGGCUUCCAGGUUUCUCCUGGCAUUGUCUAGUUUUAGCAAGAAUCCUGCUAAGUAAGUCUAGCUAGAAUCCCCAACCCUUGAUAUUUGAUCACCUUCAAUAUCUAAUUGGGUUCUUCAUUGUCUACCGUCCCCCAGGUGAGGUCUGAUCACUCUGGCCUGCCUUCAGUGAGAGUCCUAUUAGGUAGCUUCACCCAGAAUCCUCCCCUCUUGCCCCUGAUGUUUCCUCUUAGUAAUUUUUAAUCCACUGACCCUCACCAUGCUCCUUGGCUAUCAAUUCUUGCUUUUCCUUUAUGUAUUCAGAGUUGAGCCCAAUCUCACUCCCCGACUGCAAAGCCCCAUGUUAGUGGUUCCUAACACCUAUUGUGACAGUCCUGAGUCAAGUCUGCCUUAUCUUUAAGAAGUGUCAUAAAUAAUUUUUUCUUUAACAAGUCUUAGGGUGAGGUAAACCACUAUGUACAAUUGUAAGCACAGAUUCACGUUUUGAAUAGUCUUCUUUAUAAUUUUGAGUAUUUUGAGCCAAUUUCUUUUCAGAUCUGAUGAGACUGUAAGUAUUUUUAACUCAGCAAUACAGCUGAUGAAGACCAGAAAUGAAGAAAGCAUCAGAGGGCCAAGAACAAGAAGACAACCCAUCUACUUGUGUUCAGUAAAUAGUUGAGGAAUGAACGGAUAUAUGUAUGUGUGAAGAUGAAUAGUAGUGGUGUACAGAAUAAAUUGGGACAGACAGGAGGCAGAAAGUCUGUUUGGAGCCUGCUGGGACAAUAACAGAAAAAGGUAAGUAAAGGGGUUUCGAAACGGGGAUAGUAGUGAAAAUGGAGAGGACACAGGUUUCUGAAAUGUUGCAGAGAUGGUUCUACAGGACUUGAAAUCUGACAGGGUGUGGGACAUGGAGACAACUCAGAGUUGUGAGCUUGGGUAACUGUGCCAAUAUAAAUAGCGGUGCCAUUCGUAGAAAGGAAAAAAUCCAGGGAGAGAUAAUGAGCUGAGUUUGGGAUAUAUGGGUAAUAAAUCUUAUAAGGAAUCUGAAAGAGUGAAUAUUUAUUCAAAAAUAUCUCUUGUUGAAGCCAAAGUAUCCCCUAACCAGGACUGCCUCCAAAGCAUUCCAAGAAGAGUGCCAUAUUUGGUGGCUUGGUUGUAUGGUUGCAAGUCACAGAAACAAUUGUAACUAUCUUAGUGAGAAGGAGUAGAAG